rnacentral:lncRNA from 1 species
GGACCGAAGGGGCCUGUCCAGAGGCUGAGGCCGAGAUACGGGCUGGCGAGGCGGCGAAGGCUGAGGGGAGUCGCUGCCGCGGGCUCCGAGGCCGCGGAGUUCGUUCUGUGCUCUCUCGGCUUCAGCUACAGAGAUGGGGUCCUGGCCGUCGGCGCCGCCGCCGCCAUUACCGUCAGCAAUAACAACAACACAAUGUCAACAUCCGCCCAAGGGCCGACACCUCCACCAGCACUGCCGCGACCGCCGCAGCAGCAACUCAGGCAACCACAGCAACAGCCAGAGCCUCCCGCAGCGGGAGCACCCGGCUACGACAUCGCGAGACUUCCCGGGAGUGCCGGCGGGCGGGACAUUGGGUAAUAGCCACCAAUUGUCAAAAUCAGCAUUUCCCAAUGUGAAUUCACUUGGAGAAUAUCUAGUCCUGUGAAAUGCUUCUAGAGAAAACAAAAAGGGAAGUUCCAUUGUCAAGACAGAGUGACCAAGAGAUUAUAUAGUGCCUGAGGACAAAGAAAUGAGACUCUGGAACAGAAUCAGCUCUCAACAAAUAUGUUAAAUACUAUGUACCAUUUAUUCUGAUGGGCACUAUACCAAAAUAACAAGCUUGAGGCCUUUCCCAACCACCAUACUAACCAUCACCUCAGUAAUUUCAUCUUAUCUUAAUGCUGCAACUAUUAUACAAAUACAGUUUGAAUACUGUAGAUUAAUGCCAUUUUUAUUCCAACCCCAAUUUCUCUUAACUUCAGACCCAUAUUUACAACACUACUAUAUGUAAAAAAUUUCUUCUUGGUGGUUCAGACAACACUUACAACUCAAAAUCUUUAAACCAAAUAGUUUUUAUUCUUCCUCUUCCACCCACUCUAUCUACAAGCCCAUCUGAAGCAAACAAAAAAACCAGCUUAUCUUCCAGCUAUAACCAAUGCGUUAAUAUUUAACAUCAUCACCAUCAAUGCAGACACCUGAGAUAGAAAUAUAAAUUUCCCACUGCCUCUUCUCUUUCUGCACCUACAUUCCAACCAAUUGGUAAUCAAGGA